rnacentral:rRNA from 1 species
CCUACGGGAGGCAGUAGUGAGGAAUAUUGGUCAAUGGACGAGAGUCUGAACCAGCCAAGUAGCGUGAAGGAUGACUGCCCUAUGGGUUGUAAACUUCUUUUAUAAAGGAAUAAAACGAGGCACGUGUGCCUUUUUGCAUGUACUUUAUGAAUAAGGAUCGGCUAACUCCGUGCCAGCAGCCGCGGUAAUACGGAGGAUCCGAGCGUUAUCCGGAUUGAUUGGGUUUAAAGGGAGCGUAGAUGGGUUGUUAAGUCAGUUGUGAAAGUUUGCGGCUCAACCGUAAAAUUGCAAUUGAUACUGGCAGUCUUGAGUACAGUUGAGGUAGGCGGAAUUCGUGGUGUAGCGGUGAAAUGCUUAGAUAUCACGAAGAACCCCGAUUGCGAAGGCAGCUUACUAAACUGUGACUGACAUUGAUGCUCGAAAGUGUGGGUAUCAAACAGGAUUAGAUACCCUUGUAGUC